UCUUUACUUUUUAAAACGCUCCUCAGCUGUUUUGGGUGUAUUUUGCAAGGAACAGCAAACACUCCCAGCUGAAAGAGUUAUCACUUCUGCAGAUGUUGGGGGAUUUUCCUUCUGGGAAGAACUGGACUCAUAAGAACUGGUUUAGUUGCUUACUGGAGACAAACUUGAAAUACCUUUUUGUGAAACAUCUCCACUCAAGUUGUGUCUAAAGGUUCAGUGAGCAUCUGGAUAGAGAAGAAGCAUGAAGAGAUCACAGUAAUUUAGCCUCUUAUGUUAAAAUUUGGCCUCCAAUGGAAAGCCUUCACUACCCUUGAGCCCUACACACCCUCCAUCAGAAAUAGAACUACAGAAGCAUUUUACCACAAAGAGCAAACCCAGCAAGAAGUAUCUCUCCUCAGGAUGAUGUUUUUCCUUGAAAUUCUGAGUCAAGGAGAAGCUGAGAAAUCCUCUUUUGGCACCAGGAAUGCACUAAUAUUAACUUUCCCCGCACGUGGUAUCUAUCCACUCAUUUUUCCUCCUCUCAUCCCACAGUGUGGUGCUAAGCUGUGCAAUCCUUCCUUGCAGUGAAGAGCAUUUAUUCAGGUGGGAAUUACACACACAAGUGAGAACUCAUUACCAAAAGUAUCUGUGGCAAAGGGUUGGUUUAAGUUUGUUUUCACUCUAGGCCCAGCUGGAAGAGCAGGGCACCUUGGGGACUCAGACUGAAGUGCAUGGGGAAGCCACUGACCCCCUCCAGACCUGUGCCUCACUAGCUGCUGUCAGAGCAGGCUUUGUGUGCUUGAUUUGGCCUUUGCCAUCAAUUUGUACAAAUUAUUCCUAGGUGUCUAUAAUCCAUUAAUUCACAGGUCUAUUUCCUUGCAGGUGUGUGCUCAGCACAGAUUGGUCUAUAAAAGCUGCCAUCAGCUAUUGUCAAAUCAGAAAAGAGAAAUGUUAUUAGUGAGAAUUGCCGAUCUUUUUUCAACUAGAUAUAAAUCAAUGCUCUAUUUCUUGUUUAUUGAGUUAGAGAAUAUUGGCAAAAUGAUACCAUUACACCAUAGGAUAGUUCUUUUUUUUUUUUUUUUAAUAAUGACACAGCAUGCACUGUUCUUUUAUAACCUCACUUCCUCUGGAUUAAGACAACCUGCACUGUGGGGCAUCUCACAGUUUAAGAGCUAAAGUGAUGAGAGUGUCUCAAUACAAUGGCCAGGCAGAAGGAAAAAACAUCCCUUGCUCUGAGAAGCUGCUGGAAGAGCUGUUUCUUCCACAAUUUCUGCCCUGCCAGCUCUGAGCUCCUGGCAAAAGAAAACCAGAGCUCAGGAGCUGGGGAUGAACUUAGAGAAAGUAGAAGAAAGGGAAGGCUGUGCUCAUCUGGACACUAACUAGGGGAGAAGAAAUUGUAGCUGAUGAAGAGCCAUAACAAAUUUCCCUGAUGGCUGCUCAUCCAGUGACAUGAAGACUGGGUAAAUGUUUGCCAGAAAACUGCAAAACAUCUCUGUAGAAAGAUGGCUCCUGAGUGAUUUCCUGCUCCUGAGUGAAUCUGCUAUAACUUAGGAGAAAGAGGAGCUCCUACAGCAGCUUCUGUUUGAGAAAUAGAACUUGACAAAUACUGAAAAUAAGCUUGUCUCCUAUCUGCCAUCUAGAAAGGUACCAACUGAGAAAAAAAAGAUAAAAGAAGAGACAUUAUUCCAGCUGUAAACUCAAUUGCUGAUCCAGAUAGUGACAGAAGAAAGUCUCAGCAUAAUUACAGUGCAUUUGUAUCCCUGGGUAUUCUGAUGAUUAAAUGCUGCUUAUUACUUGCUUCCUUCAGCAAAAUAAAAGGUGUCACAACCAAA